UUUUUUUUUUUUUUUUUUUGUAUGACUGUAAUGUUGAGCACUGACCAGCAGGAGGCGGCACCACACUGGCCA